rnacentral:lncRNA from 1 species
GAACAUUCUCAUGGAAUUGCACUUAAUAGUUUAUCUGACUCAAAUGCUUUCAUUUGGCUUUGAACUUUUUUCAGCACUCAGACAGAGGGCGCCCUUGGACCAGUAAAAAGGAAUGUUACAACACAGACUGGAGAAGAUGAUACAAGUUUCUUUUCUUUUUUCAUCUAAUCCAGACACACAAGUGAAAAACACUUAUCACAGGACGAAUAUGAACAAUAGAAGAGCAGCUAACUACUACUUUUAAAGGCCUGGAUAACAGAUUGUUUUAUGUUGCUUCAAGUUUGUCUUCUCAUUGAAUUACUCAAUUCUAUGAAUGAAUUAAAGAG